GGCACCAUUUAUUAUGGAUGCAUCAAAUAUGUUUGCAUGUGGUGGUGUGGAGGAAGACUAGAUAACAUGAAACCCUUUCAUGUUUGAAUAAGUUAAGCCAUCUAACGACUUAAGGUUUGAACCUAAUCCUAUUAGGUCAAGGCAUCAAGCUUAGGAUUAGCACAAACACCUUUGCACCAAAUCCAAUUGGAAACUUAGGUUAAUCUAUGUGCUAGCAAUUUAAUUAACCCAUAGAAUUUAUAUUAAAUCCAAAUAGAUUAGACCAAGAUCAAAUUU
rnacentral:lncRNA from 1 species